AAGGUACUAGUAAAAUUAUUACAUAACUUCGUCAAAGUUAAAUUACAGGAAUAUACUUCUGUGUAUCUUA
rnacentral:tRNA from 1 species